UCCUUGAAUACUCCUUGAGCCUUCCUCUCUUUGUUGGUGACUUAGCUACUCCAUAGUUGAAGCUUCUUAAGCUUAGUUGUUGGUGUUGCUAUCUAUUAUAUAUGAGAAUUAAUAGGUUUGGGUGUAUUGGGGAUUUGGAUAGAGAGAGUUGUUCAUAAACUCUAGUUGUAUAUUUCUCCAAAUUGAUCAUAGUGGAAUUUCCUGCCGGCUCCGAGAGUUGAUGUAGCUCAAUCACACUGAUUGAGUGAACCACUAUAAAUCUUUGUGUUCUUUAUGGUUUGUUUAUUAGUUGUUUUCUUUUGCUUUGUUUGUUAUUGUUGAAUUCAUAUCAAUACAUUGUGUUUGUUA
rnacentral:lncRNA from 1 species